rnacentral:rRNA from 1 species
GACGAACGCUGGCGGCGUGCCUAACACAUGCAAGUCUACUCAGCAAUGGGUGGCGAACGGGUGAGUAACGCGUAGACAAUCUGCCCUUUAAUCACGGAUAACCUAGUGAAAACUGGACUAAAACGGGAUGUGGUCGCGAUAUGGCAUCAUAUGCGAUCAAAGACGUAGUCGUUAAAGGAGGAGUCUGCGUAACAUUAGCUAGUUGGUAAGGUAACGGCUUACCAAGGCGACGAUGUUUAGCUGGUCUGAGAGGAUGAUCAGCCACACUGGGACUGAGAUACGGCCCAGACUCCUACGGGAGGCAGCAGUGAGGAAUAUUGCACAAUGGGGGCAACCCUGAUGCAGCAACGCCGCGUGUACGAUGACACAGUUUAUCUGCGUAAAGUACUGUUAACCGGGACGAAAGAUGCAUGGACUGCAUUUAUAUGACGGUACCGGUAGAGGAAGCUCCGGCUAACUCCGUGCCAGCAGCCGCGGUAAAG